CCUACGGGAGGCAGCAGUGGGGAAUAUUGCACAAUAGGGGAAACCCUGAUGCAGCGACGCCGCGUGAGUGAAGAAGUAUCUCGGUAUGUAAAGCUCUAUCAGCAGGGAAGAAAAUGACGGUACCUGACUAAGAAGCCCCGGCUAACUACGUGCCAGCAGCCGCGGUAAUACGUAGGGGGCAAGCGUUCUCCGGAUUUACUGGGUGUAAAGGGAGCGUAGACGGCGCUGCAAGUCCGGAGUGAAAGCCCAUGGCUUAACCAUGGUACUGCUCUGGAAACUGUGCAGCUAGAGUGCAGGAGAGGUAAGCGGAAUUCCUAGUGUAGCGGUGAAAUGCGUAGAUAUUAGGAGGAACACCAGUGGCGAAGGCGGCUUACUGGACUGUAACUGACGUUGAGGCUCGAAAGCGUGGGGAGCAAACAGGAUUAGAUACCCCAGUAGUC
rnacentral:rRNA from 1 species